UCGGAUAUGGUGUAAUGGCUAACAUUACCGCCUCUCACUUUACGAGGGUUCGCGGUAGCUCGGGGUUCGAUUCCCCGUAUCCGAA
rnacentral:tRNA from 1 species